rnacentral:rRNA from 1 species
CCUAAGGUAGCGAAAUUCCUUGUCGGGUAAGUUCCGACCUGCACGAAUGGCGUAAUGAUGGCCAGGCUGUCUCCACCCGAGACUCAGUGAAAUUGAACUCGCUGUGAAGAUGCAGUGUACCCGCGGCAAGACGGAAAGACCCCGUGAACCUUUACUAUAGCUUGACACUGAACAUUGAGCCUUGAUGUGUAGGAUAGGUGGGAGGCUUUGAAGUGUGGACGCCAGUCUGCAUGGAGCCGACCUUGAAAUACCACCCUUUAAUGUUUGAUGUUCUAACGUUGGCCCGUAAUCCGGGUUGCGGACAGUGUCUGGUGGGUAGUUUGACUGGGGCGGUCUCCUCCUAAAGAGUAACGGAGGAGCACGAAGGUUGGCUAAUCCUGGUCGGACAUCAGGAGGUUAGUGCAAUGGCAUAAGCCAGCUUGACUGCGAGCGUGACGGCGCGAGCAGGUGCGAAAGCAGGUCAUAGUGAUCCGGUGGUUCUGAAUGGAAGGGCCAUCGCUCAACGGAUAAAAGGUACUCCGGGGAUAACAGGCUGAUACCGCCCAAGAGUUCAUAUCGACGGCGGUGUUUGGCACCUCGAUGUCGGCUCAUCACAUCCUGGGGCUGAAGUAGGUCCCAAGGGUAUGGCUGUUCGCCAUUUAAAGUGGUACGCGAGCUGGGUUUAGAACGUCGUGAGACAGUUCGGUCCCUAUCUGCCGUGGGCGCUGGAGAACUGAGGGGGGCUGCUCCUAGUACGAGAGGACCGGAGUGGACGCAUCACUGGUGUUCGGGUUGUCAUGCCAAUGGCACUGCCCGGUAGCUAAAUGCGGAAGAGAUAAGUGCUGAAAGCAUCUAAGCACGAAACUUGCCCCGAGAUGAGUUCUCCCUGACUCCUUGAGGGUCCUGAAGGAACGUUGAAGACGACGACGUUGAUAGGCCGGAUGUGUAAGCGCAGCGAUGCGUUGAGCUAACCGGUACUAAUGAACCGUGAGGCUUAACCUU